rnacentral:tRNA from 1 species
GCGUCGGUGGCUCAUUGGUAGAAUACUCGCUUGCUACGCGGGUGACCCGGGUUCGAUUCCCUGCCAACGCA